rnacentral:rRNA from 1 species
AGUGAACGCUGGCGGUAGGCCUAACACAUGCAAGUCGAACGGCAGCACAGUAAGAGCUUGCUCUUACGGGUGGCGAGUGGCGGACGGGUGAGGAAUACAUCGGAAUCUACUUUUUCGUGGGGGAUAACGUAGGGAAACUUACGCUAAUACCGCAUACGACCUACGGGUGAAAGCAGGGGAUCUUCGGACCUUGCGCGAUUGAAUGAGCCGAUGUUGGAUUAGCUAGUUGGCGGGGUAAAGGCCCACCAAGGCGACGAUCCGUAGCUGGUCUGAGAGGAUGAUCAGCCACACUGGAACUGAGACACGGUCCAGACUCCUACGGGAGGCAGCAGUGGGGAAUAUUGGACAAUGGGCGCAAGCCUGAUCCAGCCAUGCCGCGUGGGUGAAGAAGGCCUUCGGGUUGUAAAGCCCUUUUGUUGGGAAAGAAAAGCAGCAGGUUAAUACCCCGCUGUUCUGACGGUACCCAAAGAAUAAGCACCGGCUAACUUCGU